rnacentral:rRNA from 13 species
GACCUCAAAUUAAAUAAGAUUACCCGCUGAAUUUAAGCAUAUUAAUAAGCGGAGGAAAAGAAACUAACUAGGAUUCCCUUAGUAACGGCGAGUGAACCGGGAUCAGCGCAAAUUUGAAAUCUGAGAGGUUUAAAUAUUCUCUCCGAAUUGUAAUUUUGGGAAGCAAUAUUUUACGGACAUUUGCAGAAAUUAAAGUGGCUUGGAAUAGCCCACCAUAGAGGGUGACAGUCCCGUUUAAUCUAAUUUCUUUAAGCUUUUAAUGUCAUUUACGUAUUAUUGUUUCUUAGAGUCGGGUUGUUUGAGAUUGCAGCCUAAAAUGCGUGGUAAAUCUCACGUAACGCUAAAUAUGGACGAGAAACCGAUAGCGAACAAGUAGUGUGAACGAAAGAAGAAAAGAACUUUGAAAAGAGAGUGAAAAGUACUUGAAAUUGUUAAAAGGGAACCGUUUAAAACCAGUCUAUAAUUUUAUAUUUAAUUAUAAAAGUAUUUAGUGAUUUGUUCCAUUUUGAUUAUUAAGAUGAUGGAUUAUGUUUACUAUUAAUCUUUUUAUGAUUGAAGUCAUAAUCUGGAUUCAAGAUAAUAAAAAAUGUACUCAAAUCUGCUA